rnacentral:rRNA from 1 species
GCUGGCGACCAUAGCAAGAGUGAACCACCUGAUCCCUUCCUGAACUCAGAAGUGAAACCUCUUAGCGCUGAUGGUAGUGUGGGAUUACCCAUGUGAGAGUAAGUCAUCGCCAGCU